rnacentral:rRNA from 1 species
UACGUAGGGGGCUAGCGUUGUCCGGAUUCAUUGGGCGUAAAGGGUGUGUAGGUGGCGCGCUAAGUCGGGUGUGAAAUUUCGGAGCUUAACUCCGAAACUGCAUUCGAUACUGGCGUGCUUGAGGACUGGAGAGGAGACUGGAAUUCAUGGUGUAGCAGUGAAAUGCGUAGAGAUCAUGAGGAAGACCAGUGGCGAAGGCGGGUCUCUGGACAGUUCCUGACACUGAGACACGAAGGCCAGGGGAGCAAACGGG